GGCAAAAUUGGAGGGGUGCUGACCACAGCUGGAGCUGUAUUGCUGUACAGGCAGCUGAUUGCCUGCACUCUUCUUCAGCAUCAGGAUGUUAACUGUGUCGGGUGCUCAAUGCGGUGGGCUGAUGCAAUCAGCAGCAACUUGGACAUGCAUCAUGACCUGGAUGGGAUGCACCAGGGCCUCCUGUGGCUGGAGGGAAGCAUGGGGGCGCUUCAAGACCAGGUGCAGCUUCCCAUUUUUCUGACCCUGGACAACAAGGGCAGGAAAGAGGCGCUAAUUGACAGGCUGGAGGACUCUUCUAAACUGUGUGACAUUGGCGAAGACAGGGACGCAGCACUGGAUGCGAGGGACGCCGCAAGGGCUGCAGUCAUGGACCCUUUCUUGUUCAAAUUCAAGAAUGUUGAGGACAUGAACACAUUCAUGGCAAAUAUGGAGAGGAGGGGUGUGGGACUCCAUUGUUGUGUGUGAACUUUCCCCCUCUCUCCUCCAUUUUGUUUAGGCUGUCCUGUAAAGUUGAUCAAAUGUCACAAACGUGCACCCCUCUGGCUCUAAGUCCUU